rnacentral:rRNA from 1 species
AUACGAAGGGGGCUAGCGUUGUUCGGAAUUACUGGGCGUAAAGCGCGCGUAGGCGGACUGAUCAGUUGGGGGUGAAAUCCCAGGGCUUAACCCUGGAACUGCCUCCAAUACUGUCAGUCUUGAGUUCGGGAGAGGUGAGUGGAAUUCCUAGUGUAGAGGUGAAAUUCGUAGAUAUUAGGAAGAACACCAGUGGCGAAGGCGGCUCACUGGCCCGAUACUGACGCUGAGGCGCGAAAGCGUGGGGAGCAAACAGGAUUAGAUACCCUGGUAGUCC